rnacentral:rRNA from 1 species
UACAGAGGUGGCAAGCGUUGUUCGGAAUUACUGGGCGUAAAGGGCGCGUAGGCGGCCAUCUAAGUCAGACGUGAAAUCCCCCGGCUUAACCUGGGAACUGCGUCUGAUACUGGAAGGCUUGAGUAUGGGAGAGGGAUGUAGAAUUCCAGGUGUAGCGGUGAAAUGCGUAGAUAUCCGGAGGAACACCAGUGGCGAAGGCGACUACCUGGCCUGUUUCUUGACGCUGAGGCGCGAAAGCUAGGGGAGCAAACGGG